UACGGGGGGGGCAAGCGUUGUUCGGAAUUACUGGGCGUAAAGGGCUCGUAGGCGGCCAACUAAGUCAUACGUGAAAUCCCUCGGCUUAACCGGGGAACUGCGUCUGAUACUGGAUGGCUUGAGUUCGGGAGAGGGAUGCGGAAUUCCAGGUGUAGCGGUGAAAUGCGUAGAUAUCGGGAGGAACACCGGUGGCGAAGGCGGCGAUCUGGGUAGAUACUGACGCUGAGGUGCGAAAGCGUGGGGAGCAAACAGG
rnacentral:rRNA from 1 species